rnacentral:rRNA from 1 species
AGCGAACGCUGGCGGCAGGCCUAACACAUGCAAGUCGAACGAACCUUUCGGGGUUAGUGGCGGACGGGUGCGUAACACGUGGGAACGUGCCUUUAGGUUCGGAAUAACUCAGGGAAACUUGUGCUAAUACCGAAUGUGCCCUUCGGGGGAAAGAUUAAUCGCCUUUAGAGCGGCCCGCGUCUGAUUAGCUAGUUGGUUGAGGUAAUGGCUCACCAAGGCGACGAUCAGUAGCUGGUCUGAGAGGAUGAUCAGCCACAUUGGGACUGAGACACGGCCCAAACUCCUACGGGAGGCAGCAGUGGGGAAUCUUGCGCAAUGGGCGAAAGCCUGACGCAGCCAUGCCGCGUGAAUGAUGAAGGUCUUAGGAUUGUAAAAUUCUUUCACCGGUGACGAUAAUGACGGUACCCGGAGAAGAAGCCCCGGCUAACUUCGUG